ACUUAGCCGACGAGUCGUAAAUAGGACGAAACGCGCGUCAUGGAU
rnacentral:hammerhead_ribozyme from 1 species